UCCGGUGCACUCCAUUCUUAAAGUGUGAACAGUGUGCACUCAUCUUAGCCGUUCGUUGUUAGAUGAUCAAUGAUCACGGGUGAGGAUGCAUGGGCCUGUGUGCACCGCGAUUUAGCGGUGCAGCUUCGCUCUUGACAAUUGCGGGGACGUUUUUGGUAUUACCCUAUUCGUUCGGCAUUGGGCGUAAUCAGGGGUUACAGUUCUAAAUAAUAGGUUGAUUUUCGGAAAUUCGUCUCUCCGUUCCUUUCGCUAUUGCAGGUUGAUCUUCGGAAGCUCAUGGCGCGUUCAAGUGGAUAUUGCCGGUUGAAGGGGGGUAGGCCUGGGCGUCCGUUCACGCCAGCAACACUGCCGGUAGCUAUUUCGCAUAGUGUUGCAGUUCGGACCCGGACCUUCAAGCGGCGGGCAGGCGACCGUCCUUUGCGUUCGACGGCUCGUGGGGUCUGCGAUCGUCCGGCGUACGGGGUAGUGGCGAGGGUUGCUGCAAGGAGGCCGGCGGCGCAGUGGGGUUAGUUCCGAUUCCCUUGCGGUGUUUUAUUUAUUUAUUUAUUUAUUUAUUUUUUUUCCUUUUUGGGUCAGUGGAUUUGUGUGUGGGCGCAUAAUUGGGUAUUUGUGUUGUAUGCUGGUGUGUUUUAGCUAGGUAGGGUUCGAUGUCAAAUUUCCAGGGUGCGUGGGAGGUUGUUUGUGCAGAAGUGUUGGUGGGGAAUUGAGCUCCUUCAUUGGAAUUGUGGGGUUGGCGUGGUCAAGUUAGUUGGGGUUGGAGGUACUCGCACUUUGAUCACUUGAAGCUGUUACUAUGUUGUUGCCUUCAGAGAACCAGUUUAUGGCCAUCACUAAAAUAUGACAAGAUUGCUCUGCAAUGUUAUAUCAAA